rnacentral:rRNA from 1 species
AAAGUCUGAUGGAGCAACACCGCGUGAGUGAUGAAGGUUUUCGGAUCGUAAAACUCUGUUGUAAGGGAAGAACCAGUACGUCAGGCAAUGGACGUACCUUGACGGUACCUUAUUAGAAAGCCACGGCUAACUACGUGCCAGCAGCCGCGGUAAUACGUAGGUGGCGAGCGUUGUCCGGAUUUACUGGGCGUAAAGGGAGCGUAGGCGGAUUUUUAAGUGAGAUGUGAAAUACCCGGGCUCAACUUGGGUGCUGCAUUUCAAACUGGAAGUCUAGAGUGCAGGAGAGGAGAGUGGAAUUCCUAGUGUAGCGGUGAAAUGCGUAGAGAUUAGGAAGAACACCAGUGGCGAAGGCGACUCUCUGGACUGUAACUGACGCUGAGGCUCGAAAGCGUGGGGAGCAAACA